GAGUUUGAUUCUGGCUCAGGAUGAACGCUAGCUACAGGCUUAACACAUGCAAGUCGAGGGGCAGCAUGAAGUCAGCUUGCUGACUUUGAUGGCGACCGGCGCACGGGUGCGUAACGCGUAUCAAACCUGCCGCAUACUCGGGGAUAGCCUUGCGAAAGUAAGAUUAAUACCCGAUGUUAUUGUUUUUCCGCAUGGGGAGAUAAUCAAAGAUUUUAUCGGUAUGCGAUGGUGAUGCGUCUGAUUAGGUAGUAGGCGGGGUAACGGCCCACCUAGCCGACGAUCAGUAGGGGUUCUGAGAGGAAGGUCCCCCACACUGGAACUGAGACACGGUCCAGACUCCUACGGGAGGCAGCAGUGAGGAAUAUUGGUCAAUGGACGGAAGUCUGAACCAGCCAAGUAGCGUGCAGGAUGACGGCCCUCCGGGUUGUAAACUGCUUUUAGUUGGGAAUAACGGCGGGGACGCGUCCCCGA
rnacentral:rRNA from 1 species